CUGGUUUUAAGGAUGUAUUCGAGCGGAUCACAACUUAACACAGCUGAAGACUUCUCCACGCUGCUUUCAAACUGACAAUGGAUCGCAGGCAGGCCCUCCGUUUUCAGGUUGGUUAUUCAGAGCUGCAGCUUAAGCCCACACAUCAAGCUGUCAGGGUUCGCAGUGACAACAGGAGGGCAGCCCCGCGCCUCACCUCCAACACCAGGGAGCUGGCUGAGACACAAGCCGCAUCGGGGGUCACAGCGCUGGGGGGGAACCCGGCGGACUGCUGUCCGCUCCUCAGCCUGAAGGAGAGGAGCCCCGAGCAGAGGAGCCCCUGCCUGGCCCUGGCACGGCACCGCUACCAAGAGAUGCGGCCCCUGGAAGAAGAAUAGCCCUUUCCUGCCACCCCGUCCCUUUUCCCUCUUCCUCCUCCGCCCCCUCCUCUUCCUCCUCCUCCUCCUCAUCACUGCUCCUCAGAAGGAGAGGAGCCCCGAUACUGCCCUGCUCCUGCUGGAGGGAGGAGCCCUGAGGAGUGGCUGGACUCCCUCCAAUAACACUGGACACAAUCUUUUUCAAAUAAAGAAUUCAAACUUAAA